rnacentral:misc_RNA from 1 species
GUGAAUCAUCGAAUCUUUGAACGCAAAUUGCACUCUCCUCGGAGAGUAUGCCUGUUUGAGGGUCAGCCUAUAAAAAAUCGACAUCGUUGCAGUUAAGCGGCGGUGUUUGUAGGAAAUUGGGUCAUUUUAUAUCCUUUUGGUUUUUAAGCGACUUAAAAUUUUCUUUUUGGUUCCAUGAACGUUUCUAAGAUUUAUUUCUCUACACGUGUAAGGUAUCGAUUUUUAUUAGACGUGACCAUCAUAUCGGAUCGCGGCUAUAAUCUUUCA